CAGCCACAUCACGUUGAAUCACCGACUCCCGUACGAUCACCGAAGUUAAGCAACGCUUAUCCUGGCCAUUACCUAGAUGGAUGAACGCUUGGGAAUACCUGGUGCUGCAAG